ACUGAUCGGCCACAUUGGGACUGAGACACGGCCCAAACUCCUACGGGAGGCUGCAGUAGGGAAUCUUCCACAAUGGGCGAAAGCCUGAUGGAGCAACGCCGCGUGUGUGAUGAAGGCUUUCGGGUCGUAAAGCACUGUUGUAUGGGAAGAAAAGUUAAGGUAGGGAAUGACCUUAGCCUGACGGUACCAUACCAGAAAGGGACGGCUAAAUACGUGCCAGCAGCCGCGGUAAUACGUAUGUCCCGAGCGUUAUCCGGAUUUAUUGGGCGUAAAGCGAGCGCAGACGGUUGGUUAAGUCUGAUGUGAAAGCCCGGAGCUCAACUCCGGAAAGGCAUUGGAAACUGGUUAACUUGAGUGCAGUAGAGGUAAGUGGAACUCCAUGUGUAGCGGUGGAAUGCGUAGAUAUAUGGAAGAACACCAGCGGCGAAGGCGGCUUACUGGACUGUAACUGACGUUGAGGCUCGAAAGUGUGGGUAGCAAACAGGAUUAGAUACCCUGGUAGUCCACACCGUAAACGAUGAACACUAGGUGUUAGGAGGUUUCCGCCUCUUAGUGCCGAAGCUAACGCAUUAAGUGUUCCGCCUGGGGAGUACGACCGCAAGGUUGAAACUCAAAGGAAUUGACGGGGACCCGCACAAGCGGUGGAGCAUGUGGUUUAAUUCGAAGCAACGCGAAGAACCUUACCAGGUCUUGACAUCCUUUGAAGCUUUUAGAAAUAGAAGUGUUCUCUUCGGAGACAAAGUGACAGGUGGUGCAUGGUCGUCGUCAGCUCGUGUCGUGAGAUGUUGGGUUAAGUCCCGCAACGAGCGCAACCCUUAUUGUUAGUUGCCAGCAUUCAGAUGGGCACUCUAGCGAGACUGCCGGUGACAAACCGGAGGAAGGCGGGGACGACGUCAGAUCAUCAUGCCCCUUAUGACCUGGGCUACACACGUGCUACAAUGGCGUAUACAACGAGUUGCCAACCUGCGAAGGUGAGCUAAUCUCUUAAAGUACGUCUCAGUUCGGACUGCAGUCUGCAACUCGACUGCACGAAGUCGGAAUCGCUAGUAAUCGCGGAUCAGCACGCCGCGGUGAAUACGUUCCCGGGUCUUGUACACACCGCCCGUCACACCAUGGAAGUUUGUAAUGCCCAAAGCCGGUGGCCUAACCGUAAGGAGGGAACCGUCUA
rnacentral:rRNA from 1 species